AUGCUCACUCUGGCAGCAUAUAUACUAAAAUUGGAAUAAUACAGAGAAGAUUAGCAUGGCCCCUGAGCAAGGAUGACAUAAAUUUAUGAAGCAUUCCAUAUGUUU
rfam:Pteropus alecto contig103788, whole genome shotgun sequence.